ACUCGAGUGGCGAACGGGUGAGUAACACGUGGGUGAUCUGCCCUGCACUUUGGGAUAAGCUUGGGAAACUGGGUCUAAUACCGGAUGGGAGCCAUCUUUAGUGUGGUGGUUGGAAAGUUUUUUCGGUGUAGGAUGAGCUCGCGGCCUAUCAGCUUGUUGGUGGGGUAAUGGCCUACCAAGGCGGCGACGGGUAGCCGGCCUGAGAGGGUGUACGGCCACAUUGGGACUGAGAUACGGCCCAG
rnacentral:rRNA from 1 species